GGGGAUGUAGCUCAGCUGGGAGAGCGACGCGUUCGCAACGCGUAGGUCGACGGUUCGAUCCCGUUCAUCUCCACCA
rnacentral:tRNA from 1 species